rnacentral:misc_RNA from 1 species
AAUCGAACCUGGACUUCGGGCCUAUCAGAAAGCGAGAGCUGCUGGGGAGCCAUUGUCUCAGAGUGCCUUGAUGGCGCAUAUCAAUACCAAGGUCGGUGACAAUUUUGUUCGUGGAUUGGAAUCCAACGACGAUCAGUCAGAUAUUGUGGAAGCAGAAGAGAAACCCGCGAAAAACCGAGUAGCAAGGUUCCUUGUGCUCGGUGGAGCUGUUGCUCUGGCUUGCACUCUUGAUCAAGGGCUGUUGACCAAGGCUCUCAUCUUCGGUGUUGCACGGAAAUUUGUAGGGCAGAGGAACACAUUGUAGCAUUACCUGAUCUCUGUCACUAAUCCUCUGAGCCAAUCUGCUUAUUGGAUGAACACUGGCACAUUCACUGUCUUGGCAUGGAGGAAUUGAGGAGGAGAUGAUGAUCCAAUGGCUGACAUUGGCCUGUGGCACAUGCCAUGAUGCCAUUGAGGGCAGAUGAAGGACUUCGAUGUAUAUACAACGCCGGCUGUUGGAUAAUGAGAAAGAGAGGCAAUGGAGUAAAAAAUCUGUACUUUUACAUUUGGAAAAGGAAUUCCAGCUAUAUA